rnacentral:lncRNA from 1 species
CUACAAUGCAGAGCUCUACAAGCAGAUUGAAACAGUGGCUGAGGCUGCUCUGACACAGGGAUAAAACUCUGCUAUGCUCAGCCUGCUGUUCACUUGGCAGAAGGGAAAGAAGACAUCAAGAAAUGUCCUGCACAUUCUUGAAAAUGCAUUUAUCUUAAGACAUAAUGGAGGUCAUCAAGAGUAUCUGGCCUUGUAUGACAAUG